AUACGUAGGGGGCAAGCGUUGUCCGGAAUCAUUGGGCGUAAAGGGCGCGUAGGCGGUCAUUUAAGUCAGUGGUGAAAACCCAGGGCUCAACCCUGGGAAUGCCAUUGAAACUGGGUGACUUGAGUGCAGGAGAGGUAAGUGGAAUUCCCAGUGUAGCGGUGAAAUGCGUAGAUAUUGGGAGGAACACCAGUGGCGAAGGCGACUUACUGGACUGUGUCUGACGCUGAGGCGCGAAAGCUAGGGGAGAGAACAGGAUUAGAUACCCUGGUAUUCCUAGCUGUAAACGAUGGGUACUAGGUGUGGGGGGUAUCGACCCCUUCCGUGCCGGAGUAAACGCAAUAAGUACCCCGCCUGGGGAGUACGGCCGCAAGGUUGA
rnacentral:rRNA from 1 species